UGGCGGCGUAGCUCAGCUGGCUAGAGCGUACGGUUCAUACCCGUAAGGUCGGGGGUUCGAGCCCCUCUGCCGCUAU
rnacentral:tRNA from 1 species